UACAGGGGGGGCAAGCGUUGUUCGGAAUUACUGGGCGUAAAGGGCUCGUAGGCGGCCAACUAAGUCACACGUGAAAUCCCCAGGCUUAACCUGGGAACUGCGUGUGAUACUGGAUGGCUUGAAUCCGGGAGAGGGAUGCAGAAUUCCAGGUGUAGCGGUGAAAUGCGUAGAUAUCUGGAGGAAUACCGGUGGCGAAGGCGGCAUCCUGGACCGGCAUUGACGCUGAAGAGCGAAAGCUAGGGGAGCAAACGGG
rnacentral:rRNA from 1 species